UACGUAGGAUCCAAGCGUUGUCCGGAUUUACUGGGUGUAAAGGGUGCGCAGGCGGACUGGUUAGUCUGGGGUGAAAUCUCAUCGCUUAACGGUGAAACUGUCUUAGAUACUGCCAGUCUUGAAUUAGGGAGAGGUUCGUGGAAUUCCGAGUGUAGCAGUGAAAUGUGUAGAUAUUCGGAAGAACACCAGUGGCGAAGGCAGCGAACUGGCCCUUAAUUGACGCUCAGGCACGAAAGCAUGGGGAUCAAACAGG
rnacentral:rRNA from 1 species